CUUUAGUUAACACUAUAACUUAAGAGCUCUUCAAGAGUUAAUUAUUUCUGUAAUUAUGGUUCUAACUGAUACCUUACUGUUAUAAAUACAUAGCCUUAUUAUGCUCACAGUUUCAUACCUACUAGAAGAGUACGAAUAAUACUCAGCCUCUUCGAAUUUAAGAAAACAACCGCCCUAUUGAAAAGUAGUCCUCAACCAUACGUCUUUUCUCUCAAUUGUUUGUGAAAAAGAUAAUGUACAAUGUUUGAACAACACAGGCCCUUAUAAAAAAAACUACAGGUAAAGUUCCAAGUUUCAAACACUACAGGG
rnacentral:lncRNA from 1 species